UACACUCCUGCGGGAGGCAGCAGUGGGGAAUUUUGGACAAUGGGCGAAAGCCUGAUCCAGCAAUGCCGCGUGAGUGAAGAAGGCCUUCGGGUUGUAAAGCUCUUUUGUCAGGGAAGAAACGGUGAAAGCUAAUAUCUUUUGCUAAUGACGGUACCUGAAGAAUAAGCACCGGCUAACUACGUGCCAGCAGCCGCGGUAAUACGUAGGGUGCAAGCGUUAAUCGGAAUUACUGGGCGUAAAGCGUGCGCAGGCGGUUUUGUAAGUCUGAUGUGAAAUCCCCGGGCUCAACCUGGGAAUUGCAUUGGAGACUGCAAGGCUAGAAUCUGGCAGAGGGGGGUAGAAUUCCACGUGUAGCAGUGAAAUGCGUAGAUAUGUGGAGGAACACCGAUGGCGAAGGCAGCCCCCUGGGUCAAGAUUGACGCUCAUGCACGAAAGCGUGGGGAGCAAACAGGAUUAGAAACCCUAGUAGUCCCAUGA
rnacentral:rRNA from 1 species